GAUCAAGAAUUUUGUCAGAUUCCAUUUCUUUUUCGCCCUGUUGACAUUUUUUUUUUAAUUCUUUCUUCUUCUCGCCAGCGAGAGUGGGAGAGAAAAAAGGAAGCCUACACGAUUGGAUUCUUGAUUUUUAAGAUGUUAGAGUGCGGCCACCGCGACUCCUCCGACGGUGAUCUCAGUUUCAAGACCACUAAUUCUACCAACAGUUCAAUGAGCAGCGAGAGU
rnacentral:misc_RNA from 1 species